GGGACGUACAGAGGAGACCAGGAGGAUACACAUUCACCCCUUGUGCGAAGAUGAGUGACCAAGGUGUCCUCUAAAAGACCCAAGACACCGUAACAUGACUCCGUCCAGAGAGAGCAAGUUUGGGAGGUCUCUUGCUCAAAGAAGACCCUGUUUGUCAGGUCAUCAGCAGGUGCACUGGGACUCCUAAUUGGGAGGGAGCUGCAACUGGGCUUGCAAUUAGUAGCAAUAAAUGAGGACAUUUACAGCUGGCAAGCUUGCCACCCCACUGCUCCUCUGUUCAGGUCAUAAAGAACAUGCUAGCCCUGGACACGCAUGAAAAAAUGCAUCAGAAUUUAAGUACUGAAAGGAUUGUUCUUGGACUAGUGUGGUGGAUGUCUCUAUAAGC
rnacentral:lncRNA from 1 species